CCGCUCCUACGGGAGGCAGCAGUGGGGAAUAUUGCACAAUGGGCGCAAGCCUGAUGCAGCAACGCCGCGUGAGCGAAGAAGGUCUUCGGAUCGUAAAGCUCUGUCCUUGAGGAAGAAGGAAGUGACGGUACUCAAGGAGGAAGCCCCGGCUAACUACGUGCCAGCAGCCGCGGUAAAACGUAGGGUGCAAGCGUUGUCCGGAAUUACUGGGUGUAAAGGGAGCGCAGGCGGAUUGACAAGUUGGGAGUGAAAACUACGGGCUCAACCCGUAACCUGCUUUCAAAACUGUCAGUCUUGAGUGGUGG
rnacentral:rRNA from 1 species